rnacentral:rRNA from 1 species
UACGUAGGGUGCGAGCGUUGUCCGGAAUUAUUGGGCGUAAAGAGCUUGUAGGCGGUCUGUCGCGUCUGCUGUGAAAAUCCGGGGCUCAACCCCGGACUUGCAGUGGGUACGGGCAGACUAGAGUGCGGUAGGGGAGAUUGGAAUUCCUGGUGUAGCGGUGGAAUGCGCAGAUAUCAGGAGGAACACCGAUGGCGAAGGCAGAUCUCUGGGCCGUAACUGACGCUGAGGAGCGAAAGCGUGGGGAGCGAACAGG